GACAGAGGCCUCAAGCGUUAGGCGGAAUCACUGGGCUUAAAGCGUGUGUAGGCGGAUCGUUAAGUGUCUUGUGAAAUCCCACGGCUCACCCGUGGAACGGCUGGGCAUACUGGCGAUCUUGGGCCAACUAGGGGCAACUGGAACAAGCGGUGGAGCGGUGAAAUGCGUAGAUAUCAGGAGGAACACCUGUGGCGAAAGCGGCUCACUGGACCACAACUGACGCUGAGGCGCGAAAGCUAGGGGAGCAAACAGG
rnacentral:rRNA from 1 species